AAUGUGCCCGAGACUUUCUUAAGUUUCUAUUUGUUUUCCCUCUCUCUCUCUGUUUACUCUCACAAUUCUUCCCACACAGAUCCUUUGAAUCAUUGCUCUCCCUUGACGGCAUGUCCCUCCACUCAGAGCUACCACCUGGCACCUAGGUGGAUCACGAAGAAGAAGGAAUCCUAGGAAAUUGUGUAUUUACAUUGGAAGACAGAACACAAUUGCUGGAAAUGGAUCUCUUUUGUCUCGCGAAUUGGAUGUCGUUGCUGGACGAAGGUCUGAUGGAGGGAAAUGAGGGGCAGGCUUGUUUGGGUUGGGGGUUUUUGGAUCUGAAGAGGAGAAUGCAAUCUCAUUGUUUUGUUCUCUAUUUCUGUUUUUUUUUUUAUUAUUAUUAAUACUAGUUGACGUCAGCUGAUUGCACGACGACUAUAGCCAUCGACUGUACCUAGCAGAAUUGUUACAACUUUUAUGAUUGUUUGUAUACAUACAGUGCCUCCAUU